rnacentral:rRNA from 1 species
UACGGAGGGUGCAAGCGUUAAUCGGAAUUACUGGGCGUAAAGCGUGCGUAGGUGGUUUGUUAAGUCUGCUGUGAAAGCCCCGGGCUCAACCUGGGAAUGGCAGUGGAUACUGGCAAGCUAGAGUGCGGUAGAGGGGUGUGGAAUUCCCGGUGUAGCGGUGAAAUGCGUAGAGAUCGGGAGGAACACCAGUGGCGAAGGCGGCACCCUGGACCAGCACUGACACUGAGGCACGAAAGCGUGGGGAGCAAACAGG